GAUCCUGGCUCAGGAUGAACGCUGGCGGCGUGCCUAACACAUGCAAGUCGAACGGACUUACAUUGAAGCCUAGCGAUAUGUAAGUUAGUGGCGGACGGGUGAGUAACGCGUGGGUAACCUGCCUUGUACUGGGGGACAACAGUUGGAAACGACUGCUAAUACCGCAUAAGCGCACAGCUUCGCAUGAAGCAGUGUGAAAAACUCCGGUGGUACAAGAUGGACCCGCGUCUGAUUAGCUGGG
rnacentral:rRNA from 1 species